GAUAAACGCUGGCGGCGUACAUAAGACAUGCAAGUCGAACGAACCAAACUUUUUGUUUACAAGAAGCGAGGUUAGUGGCGGACUGGUGAGUAACACAUAAGUAACCUGCCUGUUAGAGUGGAAUAACAAUGAGAAAUCAUUGCUAAUACCGCAUAUGCCAUAGUUACCACAUGGUAACAGUGGGAAAGGAGUAAUCCGCUAACAGAUGGACUUAUGGCUGAUUAGCUAGUUGGUAAGGUAAUGGCUUACCAAGGCGACGAUCAGUAGCCGGACUGAGAGGUUGAACGGCCACAUUGGGACUGAGAUACGGCCCAGACUCCUACGGGAGGCAGCAGUCGGGAAUAUUGCGCAAUGGAGGAAACUCUGACGCAGUGACGCCGCGUAUAGGAAGAAGGUUUUCGGAUUGUAAACUAUUGUCGUUAGGGAAGAAAAGGACAGUACCUAAGGAGGAAGCUCCGGCUAACUACGUGCCAGCAGCCGCGGUAAUACGUAGGGAGCGAGCGUUAUCCGGAAUUAUUGGGUGUAAAGGGUGCGUAGACGGGUUAUCAAGUUAGUUGUGAAAUCCCUCGGCUUAACCGAGGAACUGCAACUAAAACUGAUAAUCUUGAGUGCAGGAGAGGUAAGUGGAAUUCCUAGUGUAGCGGUGAAAUGCGUAGAUAUUAGGAGGAACACCAGUGGCGAAGGCGACUUACUGGACUGUAACUGACGUUGAGGCACGAAAGUGUGGGUAGCAAACAGGAUUAGAUACCCUGGUAGUCCACACUGUAAACUAUGGAUACUAGGUGUAGGGGAUGUUAUGUCCUCUGUGCCGUCGCAAACGCAGUAAGUAUCCCACCUGGGGAGUACGGCCGCAAGGUUG
rnacentral:rRNA from 1 species